rnacentral:sRNA from 1 species
GACUCAGAGUUGAAGUUUACGGCUGUUCUUACUGGGCUGAUGUUAUCAACUUUGAUGGCCAUGUUGUAUUACCAUAUAGAUUCAGAAACAAGAAGAUGAAAACACUGAAAGAUGUCAUUGCCUUGAAAUUUAAGACGUCUGAAAGUGAAGGAGUAAUCUUGCACGGAGAAGGACAGCAAGGAGAUUACAUUACCUUGGAACUGAAAAAAGCCAAGCUGGUCCUCAGUUUAAACUUAGGAAGUAACCAGCUUGGCCCCAUAUAUGGCCACACAUCAGUGAUGACAGGAAGUUUGCUGGAUGACCACCACUGGCACUCUGUGGUCAUUGAGCGCCAGGGACGGAGCAUUAACCUCACUCUGGACAGGAGCAUGCAGCACUUCCGUACCAAUGGAGAGUUUGACUACCUGGACUUGGACUAUGAGAUAACCUUUGGAGGCAUCCCUUUCUCUGGCAAGCCCAGCUCCAGCAGUAGAAAGAAUUUCAAAGGCUGCAUGGAAAGCAUCAACUACAAUGGCAUCAACAUUACUGAUCUUGCCAGAAGGAAGAAAUUAGAGCCCUCAAAUGUGGGAAAUUUGAGCUUCUCUUGUGUGGAACCCUAUACGGUGCCUGUCUUUUUCAAUGCUACAAGUUACCUGGAGGUGCCUGGACGGCUUAACCAGGACCUGUUCUCAGUCAGUUUCCAGUUUAGGACAUGGAACCCCAAUGGUCUCCUGGUCUUCAGUCACUUUGCGGAUAAUUUGGGCAAUGUGGAGAUUGACCUCACUGAAAGCAAAGUGGGUGUUCACAUCAACAUCACACAGACCAAGAUGAGCCAAAUCGAUAUUUCCUCAGGUUCUGGGUUGAAUGAUGGACAGUGGCACGAGGUUCGCUUCCUAGCCAAGGAAAAUUUUGCUAUUCUCACCAUCGAUGGAGAUGAAGCAUCAGCAGUUCGAACUAAUAGUCCUCUUCAAGUUAAAACUGGCAAGAAGUACUUUUUUGGAGGUUUUCUGAACCAGAUGAAUAACUCAAGUCACUCUGUCCUUCAGCCUUCAUUCCAAGGAUGCAUGCAGCUCAUUCAAGUGGACGAUCAACUUGUAAAUUUAUACGAAGUGGCACAAAGGAAGCCGGGAAGUUUUGCGAAUGUCAGCAUUGACAUGUGUGCGAUCAUAGACAGAUGUGUGCCCAAUCACUGUGAGCAUGGUGGAAAGUGCUCGCAAACAUGGGACAGCUUCAAAUGCACUUGUGAUGAGACAGGAUACAGUGGGGCCACCUGCCACAACUCUAUCUACGAGCCUUCCUGUGAAGCCUACAAACACCUAGGACAGACAUCAAAUUAUUACUGGAUAGAUCCUGAUGGCAGCGGACCUCUGGGGCCUCUGAAAGUUUACUGCAACAUGACAGAGGACAAAGUGUGGACCAUAGUGUCUCAUGACUUGCAGAUGCAGACGCCUGUGGUCGGCUACAACCCAGAAAAGUACUCAGUGACACAGCUCGUUUACAGCGCCUCCAUGGACCAGAUAAGUGCCAUCACUGACAGUGCCGAGUACUGUGAGCAGUAUGUCUCCUAUUUCUGCAAGAUGUCAAGAUUGUUGAACACCCCAGAUGGAAGCCCUUACACUUGGUGGGUUGGCAAAGCCAACGAGAAGCACUACUACUGGGGAGGCUCUGGGCCUGGAAUCCAGAAAUGUGCCUGCGGCAUCGAACGCAACUGCACAGAUCCCAAGUACUACUGUAACUGCGACGCGGACUACAAGCAAUGGAGGAAGGAUGCUGGUUUCUUAUCGUACAAAGAUCACCUGCCAGUGAGCCAAGUGGUGGUUGGAGAUACUGACCGUCAAGGCUCAGAAGCCAAAUUGAGCGUAGGUCCUCUGCGCUGCCAAGGAGACAAAACUCAUUCUCAAACUGACCUUAUUCAAGUUGGUGUUAAAGAUAUUGGAGUCCUCAUUUGGAAGUCACUCACUAUAGCAUUUAUGGGAAACCGAGCUCUGAAUUACAAACAUCGAGUUGACAAAUGAAAAUCUGGAACAGAACCCACUCACCAGCUGGUGACCACCCAGUAUUAUUUGACUUUAAACUUGAUACUUGAACAUGAUUUUUUAAAAGAAACUUAAGCAAGUAAACAUAAAAAAAAAAAACCACC